GCUUCAGUCAUUGGGGAGUAGCCUGUUCCGGAAAAUUUCUGGAAAAUUCGUAUCAACAUACUCGUUUUAAAUAAAACGUGGUGCGAAUACCUAAAGAGCCUAAUCAAUACAGGCUCUAAAUCGGUUGGCAAGACCAUAGGCACAUAACAACACCAUUAGGU
rfam:Xenorhabdus nematophila ATCC 19061 chromosome, complete genome